CUGGCUCAGGAUGAACGCUGGCGGCGUGCCUAACACAUGCAAGUCGAACGGAGUUAUAUUUAUGAAGUUUUCGGAUGGAAUAAGUAUAACUUAGUGGCGGACGGGUGAGUAACGCGUGGGUAACCUGCCUCAUACAGGGGGAUAACAGCUGGAAACGGCUGCUAACACCGCAUAAGCAUACAGCAUCGCAUGAUGCAGUGUGAAAAUAUUAAUAGGUAUGAGAUGGGCCCGCGUCUGAUUAGCUGGUUGGUAAGGUAACGGCUUACCAAGGCGACGAUCAGUAGCCGGCUUGAGAGAGUGACCGGCCACAUUGGGACUGAGACACGGCCCAAACUCCUACGGGAGGCAGCAGUGGGGAAUAUUGCACAAUGGGGGAAACCCUGAUGCAGCGACGCCGCGUGAGUGAAGAAGUAUUUCGGUAUGUAAAGCUCUAUCAGCAGGGAAGAAAAUGACGGUACCUGACUAAGAAGCCCCGGCUAACUACGUGCCAGCCGCCGC
rnacentral:rRNA from 1 species